UCUCUGCUAGUAUAUCGGUUAGUACACGCGCCUGUCAUUCCGAUUCUCAGUGGUCGCGCGAAAGCUGGGUUCGACUCCCAGGCGGAGAG